GACGAACGCUGGCGGCGUGCCUAAUACAUGCAAGUGGGACGCAAGGGAACACACUGUGCUUGCACACCGUGUUUUCUUGAGUCGCGAACGGGUGAGUAACGCGUAGGUAACCUGCCUAUUAGCGGGGGAUAACUAUUGGAGACGAUAGCUAAUACCGCAUAAUAUUAAUUAUUGCAUGAUAAUUGAUUGAAAGAUGCAAGCGCAUCACUAGUAGAUGGACCUGCGUUGUAUUAGCUAGUUGGUAAGGUAAGAGCUUACCAAGGCGACGAUACAUAGCCGACCUGAGAGGGUGAUCGGCCACACUGGGACUGAGACACGGCCCAGACUCCUACGGGAGGCAGCAGUAGGGAAUCUUCGGCAAUGGACGAAAGUCUGACCGAGCAACGCCGCGUGAGUGAAGAAGGUUUUCGGAUCGUAAAGCUCUGUUGUAAGUCAAGAACGUGUGUGAGAGUGGAAAGUUCACACAGUGAC
rnacentral:rRNA from 1 species